ensembl:lncRNA
UUUCCAUCAUUAGUGUAUUUAAUAGACUAAAUUACACAUUCUGUUAACAUCGGACUCCAGAGUGAUCCGUUCCUGCAAUUUUAGUCGAUGACAUUUCAGAUUUGGAUAUGAUAAUUUAUCAUGAAGUAAUUUGGAUGUACUGAUGUACCCAAGUGGCUUUAGUUAGGUAAACUCUAUUUUUUAUUAAAAAGGGUAGAAUUAAUGUGGCUUUACUUCUUCCAGUGUGAAGCAAUUAGUAGCUUGGUCAACUUAAUUUUUUAAGUUAAAAGCAGAUUCCCCAACGAUUCGCCAAACUCAGUCCUGGGUACCUCAAAGGGUGCACAUUUUGUUGUUUGUCCCUAGGGCUACACAGCUGAUUCAAAUAAUCAACUCGUCAAGCUUUGAUCAUUUGAAUCAGCUGUAUAGUGCUAGGGCAACCUGUCCUUACACACCUAAUUCCACUAAUCAAAAGGGCUUGAUGAGUAGAUUUAGUGUGUUAAUGCAUUAACUGAAACCUUCUCUCCAGGAUAUCACACGUUUCCCAUCUGAAAUUACUUCCUAUAGAAGAAGGAUAAAAAAAAGUAUUAUUAAAUGUAUUAGUUACAUUAUUACAUGUAUUAGUUACAUUAUUACAUGUAUUAGUUACAUUAAAUGUAUCAGUUACAUGAAUUUUCAUGUCAUCUGACCAUAGCAUCAGUUCCAAUCCAAGUGCCAAAGGUCACGCCAUAGUUAGCAUCUACGUAACACACAUGUGAUUCAGAGUCGCUUGAUGCUAUAUAUAUAUAUAUAUAUAUAUAUAUAUAUAUUACACACACACAAUGAGAAAUGGCUUUUUAGAGUUUAUCGAGUUCACUUCAUAAUGUUUCUAACUAGAUUCCAUCAGAAAUGAAGAUGGUUUAAACAAGCGUGACUGUUGCAACUUUUCUCCUUUUUUCUACAGCAAAUGACAUCUGCAGUAAGAGCAUUAGGGACUGUAGGGGUUAGAGUGUAGAGGGGGCAGGUAGCCUAGUGGUUAGAGUGUAGGGGCGGCAGGUAGCCUAGUGGUUAGAGUGUAGGGGCGGCAGGUAGCCUAGUGGUUAGAGUGUAGGGGGGCAGGUAGCCUAGUGGUUAGAGUGUAGGGGCGGCAGGUAGUCUAGUGGUUAGAGUGUAGAGGCGGCAGGUAGCCUAGUGGUUAGAGUGUAGGGGCGGCAGGUAGCCUAGUGGUUAGAGUGUAGAGGUGGCAGGUAGACUAGUGGUUAGAGUGUAGAGGUGGCAGGUAGACUAGUGGUUAGAGUGUAGGGACGGCAGGUUCCUGUCGGCACAACAUACAACGAAUCCAUUUCAGUGGUUAGCAAGUUGGGCAAGUAACCGAAAGGUUGCUAGAUCGAAUUCCGAGCUGACAAUGUCAAAAUCUGUCUUUCUCCCCCUGAACAAGGCAGUUAACCCACUGUUCCCCGGUAGGACGACAUUGUAAAUAAGAAUUUUUUCUUAGCUGACUUGCCUAGCUUUAGUUAAUGAUUGGAUAUAACGUUAAAAGGUUUCAUGUGUAAAACUGAUUUGUUUACAGAUUUAAUUCAUGUAAAUUAGGUUUGAGAAUUGUAUCUCCACCAAAAAUCAACAAAAGCAUUGAUGUCGUGUUGAUAGUGUUGCUAUGUGAACAAGAUGGCGCCGACAGAGGGCUGCCUCGCU